CACGUAGGGUGCGAGCGUUGUCCGGAAUUAUUGGGCGUAAAGAGCUCGUAGGCGGUGUGUCGCGUCGGCCGUGAAAACCUGCAGCUUAACUGUGGGCGUGCGGUCGAUACGGGCAUCACUGGAGUUCGGCAGGGGAGACUGGAAUUCCUGGUGUAGCGGUGAAAUGCGCAGAUAUCAGGAGGAACACCGGUGGCGAAGGCGGUGAUCUGGGCCGGCACUGACGCUGAGGAGCGAAAGCGUGGGUAGCAAACAGG
rnacentral:rRNA from 1 species